rnacentral:snRNA from 1 species
UUUGCUUGUGAAAGGCUUCUAA